rnacentral:lncRNA from 1 species
UAUAUCACUAAAUAUAAAUUGCAUCAUUUAUUUUUUCUAUCACCACUGUAAAACUUUCAUUUUCUUUCUGUCAAUCACUGCCACUGACAUUAAUCUUGACAAAUUGCUCCUCAAUUCCAACAACUUUGUAUCAACCAAAGUCCCUCUAACACCACCAUCAACUAUUAUUAUUAUUAUUGUUCGAACCAGUGGGCAACAUCAGUGGAAGAUAGCAAUUCCUCUUGUCAGAGUCAGCAUCAUCUCACUAGUGGAAGAGGACACCGGUAGCAACGAUGAGGCGAGCAACGACAACCAUAAGGCGAGUGAACGCAUCGGUGACGAGCAAUUGCGAUGACAAUGAGGCAUGAGAUGAGCGGCUGCAACGACGACGAUAUGAUAAAGAGCGGUGGAAGAAACCUGCGAUGGAGGAAACCGACCGAGUUCUGUCUUUCUUAUUUAAUUUGUUUCGAUUGUGAGAAAGUGAAAAAAGAAAAAGAUAAGUGUAUUAAUUUUGAUUUUUUAGUAUUUUUAAUUUAUUAUUUGAUUUAAUUAAUAUAAUUUAGUUAUUUUUUAAUUUUAAAAUAUGUCAUAUGUUUAUUUUGAUGUGGCAUAUGUGAACCACAUGUAUUUUUUUUGAAAAAAUAAAUUAUCCAAUUGGGCUGUCAUCUUAUUUUUUAUUAGAUUCUUACGUGGAGACUGAUAAAAAAAGGUUUAGUGAUAUUAUAAUUAAAAAUUAAUAAAUUUUAUGAUAGAAAUUAAAAUUUAAAAACAGUUGUUAU